GCCGGAGAUGCCCAAGUGGCAGGAUCCCGCACAGCUGGAGGCGGUCGCAGAAUGACAGGCCCGACCCUCCCUCCUCCCCGGGACCAAACAGACUCUCUCUCUCUCCCUAUCAUAACUUGGCACGGAUAUCUUUAGGACGCCGUGCUCCCAGACAGUGGGGGAAGCAGGGAACGAAUUGGGCCUCGCUGCCUGACAACCCGUUGCAGGGGACGCGCUCUCUCCCGUUCCCCCCAGAAAACAGUACCCACUUUGCCCACCAGGAGACCCGAUGGCCUUUUUAAAAAUAGAUUUUGCCAAACGAUUGUGCGGGCAAAUGCUGACUUGCAGUCUGGGAGACAUCUCGUCGUCAGGCGCCGCAAGAUGAAAGCAGGGUCUAUUUUCACCGCGAGCGAGCCGUGAACGGAAGCACCGAGGAGAAACUCGCUGCUCGUCUCCAUCAGGCGGAGCCAAAGCGGGACUGGGCUCGAACAGUUGCCAAAAUACCUCGCGCGCGGGCGCGCAGCGGCUUCAGCUUGAAGAAUGGCAUCGGGCGGCUACAAAUCCCGAACAGGAGGCUCUCCCGUUGCCCAGCUCAAGCUCAAAAAAAAGAAAAAAGAAAAAAAAUCUUUCCCCCGCCGUGUGCCAGGAACUUGACAGUGGAAUAAUAUUAGUAGGAAGAGCAGCAGGUACGAGUGUAACUCAGACGGACGGGAACGAGAAAAAGGGCCAUGAAUAAAGCCUGCUCCGAAAGUGGA